ensembl:lncRNA
UUUAGAUUCUACAAAACAAUAAAAGUUGCUAGCGAAAGUCAGGAUAGUCACUUGUACAUAACUGGCGCGUUCUCGCUCUACUUCGUGUCGCAAGGCAUUCUGGAACUUGCAGUCAAAAGUGUAAUCCAAUACUAACCAAUAAAACAAAAAUAUGUAUGUAGUUCUCUCGAUCUCCAACACACAAGUUCUAAUACAAUUACAUAUGUAAAUAACUAAAGAAAAUAUCUUUAGAUACAGCUCAGUUAAUUAACUGUAAACAAUAACUCUGUAACCCAUUAAAGUUACAACAGCAUGCAUCAAAACAUUAUUUUUGUUUUGCCCCACCAAGAUUAAUAUGCCAAAACUGCCACUGGUUGAUCACCAUUUUGAACAUCAAUAACUUGCUUGAGCUGGUUGACCAAAGAGUCAAGACAGAGCUGGCCCUGAACUCUGUAAGCUUGCCUCUCCUGGGGCACACGCAUUCAACACCCUGUCCAUACAUUAAACUGUAUGCUUACUCCUCACAAUGCACACAUUAAAUCAGGUCACAAACUCUUUAGCUAGGCCUAGUACCCCUAGACUUAGCGAGUGUAGCAAAAUCAGUAGGCUAGCUAGGUGGUUACGUGACUAAAGCUAAAAACAUGCUACAACAAUGGACAAUUUUACUGAAUAUUAAACAGGUACACUGUCUAUAUAAGCCAAUUAUAACUGAAUUAUAAGACUUACUGUAUAUUUAAAUAUAAAACCACAGUUGAAUACAUGAAAUCCUACAGUGUUGGUGAGUUCACACAAAGUUAGUGUUUUUUUUUAGGAACAGCCGGGUUGUGGCGUGCCUAAUACAUGAUACCUUGCUGGUUUAAACAGUUUGAAACAAAGUAAGAACUUUUUGGGAAAGUUUCCUCUCAAAACCUCUACAAGUCAGAAUGUUGACUAAAGUUACAUUUGAACUAAAUCUACUGAUUGUCUGGAUUGUUGGUCCUUGUGGCUUAGGAAAGUAUUAUUAACCUGACAUUUGAACACUGGUCUGUAUUUUCUAUCUCAUGAUACAUUCACCCAUGACGCACGCUAUGGGGUCGUUCCAUUUGAUUCCAAUCGCUUUUUGACCUGAACAAAUUUGAUUUGAACAAAACAUUCUAUAAAUAUUUGCCCAUCGUAAAAGUGGUCAGAAAGUUACUUUUUGGACCUGGAUUGCAAAACAUUUAGGAGAUAGAGGUGCUCAAAGUUGACCCAUUUUGCAAACCCCACCCUACCAUGAGACAUCCAUGUCUUCAUCACUUUAAAAGAUAAACGGUUGAGUUUGAUAUAAUUUAAAAGCUUACUGUCACGCCCUGGUCUUAGUAUUUUGUGUUUUCUUUAUUAUUUUGGUCAGGCCAGGGUGUGACAUGGGUUAUUUAUGUGGUGUGUUUUGUCUUGGGGUUUUUUGUAGGUCAUGGGAUUGGUUAGUGGGGUUGUCUGGACUGGUUCUCAAUCAGAGGCAGGUGUUUAUCGUUGUCUCUGAUUGGGAACCAUAUUUAGGCAGCCAUGUUCUUUGAGUGUGUCGUGGGUGAUUGUUCCUGUCUCUGUGUUUGUGGCACCAGAUAAGGCUGUUUAGGUUUUCCACGUUUAUUGUUUUUUGUAUUCAGUUGUUCAUGUGUACUAUUUCGUAUUAAAAGAACCAUGGACACUUACCACGCUGCAUAUUGGUCCUCCGAUCCUUUUCGCCUCUCCUCUUCGGGAAGAAGAGGAGGAAAUACCUAACAGAAUCACCCACCACAACAGGACCAAGCGGAGUGGUGACGGGCAGCAGGAGCAGCGCAAAAAAAGAUUUCUGGACAUGGGAGGAAAUCUUGGAUGGUAAAGGACCCUGGGCACAGCCAGGAGAAAAUCGCUGCCCCAAAGAAGAGCUGAAGGCGGCGAGGCGCUGGUAUGAGGAGGCAGCACGGCGACGUGGAUGGAAGCCCGAGAAGCCGCCAGUCUGCAUGGAGCAGCCGUUCAGGGGAUCUAUGUGCUUGAAAGUGUGAGUUGGAAGCAGACGUUACAGACAUAGCUUUAUGCCUUUAAAAUGUGCAAUAGGCAGUAUACUAUGGGUAAUUUUGAUUAACCAAGUUUGCCUCUGUACUAUUUGUUGUGCCCCCACUCGCUCACUCAGUAGCCUUCCUUAGUGCUGGUUUUAUUAUCUCUCACACACACACAGAACCCUGGGUUUAGACUAAAGUUAAAGUGCACUGAAUGUAGACCUGUGUAAUGAAGUACACAGCAACAUAUUAUACAAUUAAAUAAAAAGCUGACAUUUUUGCUUAAGUCCCCCAAAAAGUAUUUAGUACAAAUAAAAAAGCUUCACUUUUACAAUCACUUCUAAAGACUGUCUCGUAUCAGAACAACAUAGCCAAGAUGAUCGAUGAUAUUUAAUAAGUGACCUCUUGCUCUAUCCCCUUCUUACACUCUGGUGUUACAUGGCCAGCACAACGCUUCGCGAAUGCACACAGCAUUUACAUCGAUGGGUCGAACACUAGGAUGCUGUAGAUUUUCUGGUCCACCUUUAGCCUGGAUAUCAGUGCUGUGGCUGCGAUGGUGCCUCUAUCCACAUUGUUGCUAUGGAAGGCCCCAGACAUUGUGCAGACCUUCUUGGAGGUCUUCAGGACGUUAUGGUACCUGCAGAUCACCUCUUCUGGACCUUUGACUGCACAUAAGAAAAUACUGUGUGUGUGUGUGUGCGCGUGUGUAUACUAACAAUAAAUAGAUAACUAAAUGGAUAGUUCGGGAUUUGGCAAUCCUGUACAGGCUUCCUCCUUUUCACUGUGUCAAUUACUUUAAUAUUGUCGAGUAACUACAAUGUUGCUGAUCCAUCCUCAGUUUCCUCCUAUCACAGCCAUUAAACUCUGUAACUGUUUUAAAGUCACCAUUAGCCUCAUUAAAUCCCUGAGCGGUUUCCUUCCUCUCCGGCAACUGAGAAAAGACGCAUGUGUCUAUUGUAGUGACUGGGUGUAUUGAUAUACCAUCAAAUGUGUAAUUAAUAACUUCACCAUGUUCAAAGUAAUAUUCAAUGUCAUUGUUCUUUCUACCAAUAGGUACCCUUCUUUGCGAGGCAUUGGAAAACCUCUGGUCUUUGUGGUUGAAUCUGUGUUCGAAAUGUAUUGCUCGACUGAAUGACCUUACAAUUAUCUGUAUGUGUGGGGUACAGAGAUGAAGUAGUCAUUCAAAAAUCAUGUUAAACACUUAUUACACACUGAGUGAGUCCACGCAAGUUAUUAUGUGAUUUGUUAAGCAAAUGUUUACUCCUGAACUGAUUUAAGCUUGCCAUAACAAAUGGGUUGAAUAUUUAUUGACUCAAAACAUUUCAAUGUUCCUUUUUUAUUAAUUUGUAAAAAAAAAGAAUGAAAAACUUAAUUCCACAUUGAAAUUAUGGGAGUAUUGUGUGUAGGCCAGUGACACAUCUCAAUUUAAUACAUGUUCAAUUCAGGCUGUAACAAUAAAAUGUGGAAAAGACAAGGAGUGUGAA